rnacentral:pre_miRNA from 1 species
AGGAGGAACAGCCCCAGUGGCGGGGCAGCUCUGGAAACCUGGAUUCAGCCCCCACAGUAACUCCGGAGCUCUCAUUCUGCAGGGCCUCGAGGUUCCGGGGCGGG